GCUGGGCUUGGUAGCGCAAGCCUGUAACCCGAGCGGGAGCAUUAAGAUGGUGGAACAAUUGGGCUUGCUCUGAUGGCUGGGCUUUGGGGUGCUAUCUCCUGGCCUGCCCGUUCCAAGUGGUGAGAUGGGCCGUGUAGUCUCCGCUAAAGUGGAGGCGUCUCGGCCCUUAGAUUGGAGGGCACCGCGUGAGGCUGGCUUCACAAAGCAGCGAAAACCUCCUUCUCUCUGCAGUGGAGGGAUAACAGGCCGGUGCAACCUUGGUCCACUAUAGCCUGAUGCGCUGCCCAACUUGAACCACCAUCUUU
rnacentral:SRP_RNA from 1 species